rnacentral:sRNA from 1 species
GUAUUGGGAAGGCAGAUAAAAUGCCAGGUCUGGACUGCCUCUGGGGAUAACCUCACCCUGUGGGAUGUGAAUGAAUAGCAUCUUGCCUGGUAAAUCCACAGGAAUUGAUAAGGCGGGCGCAGUUCUCCCAAACAGGCCUUUUCUCUUUAAGCUCUAGCUGUGGUUUCUGCAGCAAUUUUGUUUUUGCCUUGAAAGAGGUGCUCUGGAUUAUCAGACCUCCAUGUAUGACAAUUUGUACCUGCAUGGAAUUGAAGACUCGGAGGCUGGUUCAGCGGAUUCCUACACAAGCAGGCCGUCUGACUCCGAUGUCUCUUUGGAAGAGGACCGGGAAGCAAUUCGACAGGAGAGAGAACAGCAAGCAGCUAUCCAGCUUGAGAGAGCAAAGUCCAAACCUGUAGCAUUUGCCGUGAAGACAAAUGUGAGCUACUGCGGCGCCCUGGACGAGGAUGUGCCUGUUCCAAGCACAGCUAUUUCCUUUGAUGCUAAAGACUUUCUACAUAUUAAAGAGAAAUAUAACAAUGAUUGGUGGAUAGGAAGGCUAGUGAAAGAGGGCUGUGAAAUUGGCUUCAUUCCAAGCCCACUCAGAUUGGAGAACAUACGGAUUCAGCAAGAACAAAAAAGAGGACGUUUUCAUGGAGGGAAAUCAAGUGGAAAUUCUUCUUCAAGUCUUGGAGAAAUGGUAUCUGGGACAUUUCGAGCAACUCCCACAUCAACAGCAAAACAGAAGCAAAAAGUGACGGAGCACAUUCCUCCUUAUGAUGUUGUGCCGUCAAUGCGUCCGGUGGUGUUAGUGGGGCCGUCACUGAAAGGUUACGAGGUACAAAUAUCAUCUGUUACUCUUCAGUUCUUGAUCGAGCACCCAGGAGACAGUCAUGUUGAUGCUUGCUCCUCAAGGGUCUGUUUCCACGUGGGUUCUGAUGGAAGCCAGUGCUCAGCAUGGGAAGGCAAUGGGUAUCGUGUGGGGCUCAUGAGGCCCUCUGCCCUUUCUUUCCUCUCUUGCACACUUCUCAUCUUUUAUGAAUUACAUUGUUUAGAAAUACCUCCCUCAAAAUAUUUACAAUGGGAAGAUCUGGUCAAAGAUUUGCUAUACAUUAAAUGCAAAGAAAAGGACUUUAUCUCUCUUGACCAUUCUCAUUAUUAUUAGAAGUAAUAGAGAAUGAACAGCACAAGAGGACAAACAAUCAAUCUUCCAGCAAACGCAAACCUUUAAAGCCCAGAGUUCACCCUGCUGGGUUUUUAAGAUGAUGGCAUAUGCCACCAAAUCCUUCUCUCCUUAUUUAUUUUAAAGGGCACAUGUUUUAAAAGACCACUAAAAACAUUAGUGAACUUUGGAGAUUAAACAAAACCAUGUGACAAGGAAAAGAGUAGAGACUUCGUUUCAGAUGUUUGUUUUGACUUUGUGCUAGCAUGGAUUAAAAAAUAGGUAGAUGUGACAUUAAACUCUGAAAGUGAGCAGCCUCCAGGGCACCAUUCCCGUCGAGCUAGGACAAUGUGUGGCACAUAGUAGGCACUCAGUACACAUUUGCUGAAUGAAUUAAUGAAUCUCUUUCAGGCAGAUCUAAGAAUCCUUGCUCUAUCCCCCUCUUUCUCUCUUGUCUUUCUCAGAGUUGGAAAUGUCAGAGGGAUGAGCAGGAGAGUGGUCUACAAAAAUCCAGCCAUGGGCAUGGAGAAUUUCUGCCAACAUACACAAACUAGCAGGAAGGCUGAGUCCAGUGCUGGCCUCAGUUCUCUAGCUGCUCCUCACUGAAGGCAGGCACAACUCAGGCGUGCCAAGGAUACCCAGCACCUGUGUACAAAGCCAGCCUGUUGUCUCCUGGCAGCAGUUCUAUCCCCUAACGAGGGAAGAGGGAAGAGGGUCUGGUGAACACUGCUGGUUUAUUCCUCAACACCCUGGAGGAGAACCAAGGGGGGUGGAAAUUAGCAAUUGCACAUGGUUAAGCAUGAAAAACACCUUCCAUGGUAACCUACCCCUAGGAGACGAAUGGCUGCAAUAAGGUCUUGGCUCAUAGUGCCCUUCCCUCCCUCCUCUCUCACUUUUGACUUCUCUCUCUCUCUCUCUGCGUGUGUUUGCCUCAUUCUUUUUUUCUCACCUCUGCAAAGGUAACAGACAUGAUGCAGAAAGCCCUCUUUGAUUUCCUGAAGCACAGGUUUGAUGGGAGGAUAUCAAUAACGAGAGUGACAGCUGACAUUUCUCUUGCUAAGAGGUCUGUCCUAAAUAAUCCCAGCAAGAGAGCAAUAAUUGAACGUUCGAACACCCGGUCCAGCUUAGCGGAAGUACAAAGUGAAAUUGAAAGAAUCUUUGAGUUGGCAAGAUCUUUGCAACUGGUUGUUCUUGAUGCAGACACCAUCAAUCACCCAGCACAACUUAUAAAGACUUCCUUAGCACCAAUUAUUGUUCAUGUAAAAGUCUCAUCUCCAAAGGUUUUACAGCGGUUGAUUAAAUCUAGAGGAAAGUCACAAAGUAAACACUUGAAUGUUCAACUGGUGGCAGCUGAUAAACUUGCACAAUGCCCCCCAGAAAUGUUUGAUGUUAUAUUGGAUGAAAAUCAGCUUGAGGACGCGUGUGAACAUCUAGGGGAGUACCUGGAGGCGUACUGGCGUGCCACCCACACAACCAGUAGCACACCCAUGACCCCACUGCUGGGAAGGAAUUUGGGCUCCACAGCACUUUCACCAUAUCCCACAGCAAUUUCUGGGUUACAGAGUCAGCGAAUGAGGCACAGCAACCACUCCACAGAGAACUCUCCAAUUGAAAGACGAAGUCUAAUGACCUCUGAUGAAAAUUAUCACAAUGAAAGGGCUCGGAAGAGUAGGAACCGCUUGUCUUCCAGUUCUCAGCAUAGCCGAGAUCAUUACCCUCUUGUGGAAGAAGAUUACCCUGACUCAUACCAGGACACUUACAAACCCCAUAGGAACCGAGGAUCACCUGGGGGAUAUAGCCAUGACUCCCGACAUAGGCUUUGAGUCUAAUGAAACAAAAAAUAUUCAUCUGUUGACAAUUUGCCAUAGCAGUGCUAGGAUAAACCAAUCAUCUUAACUUGGCUAACAUAGCACAGUAUUUACUGUGCUAAUGGGCUGCUGUCAUUUUAUGC